GGUAAUUUGACCGUGCAAAGGUAGCAUAAUCAAUAGUCUUUUAAUUGGAGGCUUGAAUGAAAGGUUUGACGGAGGAGAAGCUGUCUUUUUAUUAGAAUUGAAUUUAACUUUUGUGUAAGAAGGCAUUAAUGAUUUAAAGGGACGAUAAGACCCUAUAAAACUUUAUAUAUUAUAUUUAUUUAAUAAAAUAGUUAAUUAAUUAUUGGUGGUUAAUUAUAUUUUGCUGGGGUGGCAGGAAUAUAAUUCUAACUGUUUUAAAUGUAAAAUAUUUAUUAAUAGAGAGUGGUCCUUUGUUUGAGAGUUGAGAGUAAGUUACUUUAGGGAUAACAGCAUAAUUUCUUUUGAGAGUUCUUAUCGAAGAUGGUAGUUGUGACCUCGAUGUUGAAUUAAAUUUUCCUUUUAAUGUAGGAGUUU
rnacentral:rRNA from 1 species